rnacentral:rRNA from 1 species
UACGUAGGGUGCGAGCGUUAAUCGGAAUUACUGGGCGUAAAGUGUGCGCAGGCGGCCAUGCAAGUCGAGUGUGAAAGCCCCGGGCUUAACGUGGAGGGGCCAUUCGAAACUGCCGUGACUCGAGUCCGGUAGGGGAGUGCGGAAUUCCCGGUGUAGCGGUGAAAUGCGCAGAUAUCGGGAGGAACACCCGUAGCGAAGGCGGCACUCUGGGCCGAUACUGACACUGAGGAGCGAAAGCGUGGGGAGCGAACAGG